rnacentral:rRNA from 1 species
GACGAACGCUGGCGGCGUGCUUAACACAUGCAAGUCGAACGGUGAAGCGCCUUCCUUUUUGGUGGGUGUGGAUGAGUGGCGAACGGGUGAGUAACACGUGAGUAACCUGCCCCCUUCUUCUGGAUAACCGCAUGAAAGUGUGGCUAAUACGGGAUAUUCUGGGUCUGUCGCAUGAUGGGUCUGGGAAAGAUAUUGUUUCGGUGGGGGAUGGGCUCGCGGCCUAUCAGCUUGUUGGUGGGGUGAUGGCCUACCAAGGCGGUGACGGGUAGCCGGCCUGAGAGGGUGGACGGUCACACUGGGACUGAGACACGGCCCAGACUCCUACGGGAGGCAGCAGUGGGGAAUAUUGCACAAUGGGCGCAAGCCUGAUGCAGCGACGCCGCGUGAGGGACGGAGGCCGUCGGGUUGUGAACCUCUUUCGCCAGUGAAGCAGGCCUGCCUCGUUUGUGGGUGGGUUGACGGUAGCUGGAUAAGAAGCGCCGGCUAACUACGUG